rnacentral:rRNA from 1 species
CUACGGGUGGCUGCAGUUUCGAAUAAUUCACAAUGGGCGCAAGCCUGAUGAUGCGACGUUACGUGAAGGAAGAAAGCUUUAAGUUGUAAACUUCUGUCGUUAAGGAACAAAAAAUUAAGUAGUACUUUUUAUAUUGAGUUAACUUAAAAAGGAAGCAGUGGCUAAUUUCGUGCCAGCAGCCGCGGUAAUACGGGAACUGCAAGCGUUGCUCGGUUUUAUUGGGCGUAAAGAGUACGUAGGCUGUUAUAUAUGUUAAUUGUUAAAUUUUAAAGUUAAUCUUUAAAUUUGCUGUUAAAACUAUAUAACAAGAAUUUCAAAGAGGUAAGUGGAAUUUCAAGUGUAGCGGUGAAAUGCGUAGAUAUUUGAAGGAACACCAUGGCGAAAGCAACUUACUGGGUGAUAAUUGACGCUAAAGUACGAAAGUAUAGGGAGCAAAAGGGAUUAGAUACCCUCGUAGUC